rnacentral:rRNA from 1 species
AGCGGCGGACGGGUGAGUAACGCGUGGGUAACCUGCCCUGUACACACGGAUAACAUACCGAAAGGUAUGCUAAUACGAGAUAAUAUACUUUUAUCGCAUGGUAGAAGUAUCAAAGCUCCGGCGGUACAGGAUGGACCCGCGUCUGAUUAGCUAGUUGGUAAGGUAACGGCUUACCAAGGCGACGAUCAGUAGCCGACCUGAGAGGGUGAUCGGCCACAUUGGAACUGAGACACGGUCCAAACUCCUACGGGAGGCAGCAGUGGGGAAUAUUGCACAAUGGGCGAAAGCCUGAUGCAGCAACGCCGCGUGAGCGAUGAAGGCCUUCGGGUCGUAAAGCUCUGUCCUCAAGGAAGAUAAUGACGGUACUUGAGGAGGAAGCCCCGGCUAACUACGUGCCAGCAGCCGCGGUAAUACGUAGGGGGCUAGCGUUAUCCGGAAUUACUGGGCGUAAAGGGUGCGUAGGUGGUUUCUUAAGUCAGAGGUGAAAGGCUACGGCUCAACCGUAGUAAGCCUUUGAAACUGGGAAACUUGAGUGCAGGAGAGGAGAGUGGAAUUCCUAGUGUAGCGGUGAAAUGCGUAGAUAUUAGGAGGAACACCAGUUGCGAAGGCGGCUCUCUGGACUGUAACUGACACUGAGGCACGAAAGCGUGGGGAGCAAACAGGAUUAGAUACCCUGGUAGUCCACGCCGUAAACGAUGAGUACUAGCUGU